rnacentral:ncRNA from 1 species
CUUCACAGGUUAACCCGUGGCCUGAGUGAGGAAGGCAAUGCUACUGCUAGUCACUAUUUGUGGCGACAUCUCCAAAUUGCGUGAAACCCGUCAUACAGCUUCAAGUACCACUUCAAUUGAGAAAUCUUUUGAAGGAACAGAGGUAACUCCUCUUCCCAAAGGUAAAAAGCUUGAAGACACGGUGGCAAUGCGCAGCCAAGCUCCUAAGUAUUUUAAAUAUAAGGAGAAGGUUCAGAGAGCAGACGGAGAUGGGCGGUAAUUAUCGCCGCUUAAGGUGUGCUCCAGCCUCUUUCGAAAGAUUGAG